rnacentral:rRNA from 1 species
UACGGGGGGGGCAAGCGUUGUUCGGAAUUACUGGGCGUAAAGGGUUAGUAGGUGGCUAACUAAGUCAGACGUGAAAUCCCUCAGCUUAACUGGGGAACUGCGUCUGAGACUGAUUGGCUCGAGGACAGGAGAGGAACGCGGAAUUCCAGGUGUAGCGGUGAAAUGCGUAGAUAUCUGGAGGAACACCGGUGGCGAAGGCGGGUCUCUGGGCCGAUACUGACGCUGAGGAGCGAAAGCGUGGAGAGCGAACAGG